GACGAACCGUGCGAACGUUAUUCGGAAUCACUGGGCUUAAAGCGCGUGUAGGCGGCUUUGCAAGUCGGGUGUGAAAUCCCUCGGCUCAACCGAGGAAGUGCGCCCGAAACUGCAGAGCUUGAGUACCGGAGAGGAUGGUGGAAUUCCCCAAGUAGAGGUGAAAUUCGUAGAUAUGGGGAGGAACACCGGUGGCGAAGGCGACCAUCUGGACGGAUACUGACGCUGAGACGCGAAAGCGUGGGGAGCAAACAGG
rnacentral:rRNA from 1 species